rnacentral:ncRNA from 1 species
GAUUAUUGAGUGUCGGAAAUGGUUCCCGACGCACCCGCAAGGGUACCUGAGAUGAUGGAUACACCGCCCAUCCAAUAAUC